UUUAACCUGUCGACCUACGCUGGUUAAACCCGUCAUUCUGCCUCCAAAAUGCCGAAAAACUGUGUUGUUUUUGGUUGUGCUAACCACAACUGGAAACAGGGAAAACAAAGGUUGUAUUUUGUUCUGCCAAAGCGCGAUAAAAGCCCACAGAGACGAGACAAAUGGCUCGCAGCUUUACACCGGGAAAACGAGGACGGUUCUCACUGGAGUCCCCCAAAGUCCCGGGUCGUGUGUUCGGAUCACUUCCUUUCUGACUGGCGCCAGAACCAUGACUCAGUCCAACGCCUAACCCUGAAGACGUCACAUCCACUACAGCGUGAGAGCCAACGUGAGGGAGCAACGUUGGCUUAAGAAUUGGACGGUUUUGACCGGUUUUUGCAGGAGGAAAUUGCUGCCAUCCGUCUGCAGAUAGGCCGUCCUCCGGCAGACCCGCUGAUCCCCCGAUGAUAACGGCGGCUGGAUGCCAAGUGAUGUACAUUAUUGAUGGCCACAUUUUACAGUCUCAGCAGGGAGCGGCGGGGGAGGGGCCGCACGCACUAGUUAAAGACUUAGCGGCAUGUAAACAAACACUAUUCUUCCUGCACACGUACAGUAUUUACGUCAUAUUAACCCCAUCAUUUCAUGGCUGAUUGCAUCCUUGCAGCACAUUUGGCAACUGCAGCUUCACCUUUCAUGCAAAACAUCUGUCCGCCAUAUUUAACCCCGCCCCUCUUGUCUUUGAUGUGAGCGGCGGCCCACCUGUCGGGCACCUGGAGACCAGCACCUUUGUUUCA